CUUCUUCUUCCUUCUAUCGCAGACUACACGCAGAUUCCACGAUGGACAAUUGCAACUACAUGGUCGAAGACAUCAAAGGUGGAAGCCACGGCAACUCUCAGGGAGAAGGUUGUGAGGACGAAGAGAAGCUGAAGUUUUUAUACCUCUUCAGGUCAGGAAGAUUCAAGUAACACCAGCGAGGGGGCCAAGUUACCUUGCGAAGGCACCUCCUCCCCCUCCUUCUCAAAUCUACUAGAGGAGUACAUGGAAAAUGGGUCAUGUUGUGAGCAGCUUCUUUACCUUUUUUUGUAUCUCCUGUAAGCUUCUUCGCUAGAGUGUCUCCGGUGUGCAAUGUUGGCGACGUCUAUCCUUCUUUUUAU